CAAAGGCAAAGAGUCAUGAGAAUGCUGGACACAAUUGAGGAAGAGCUGUCUUACGGAGAGAAAUUGUUAAUGGAAUUCUAGCCAAAAGGAUGUGGGAGGAGAGGAAGGAGCCACAAAGGGAGAAUCAUGCCUAAGAGUUAACUAUGGUACUCUGAAGCAGAACAGAGAUGAAAUGUAUCAGAGAAGUAUAAAUUCUGCACUAAAAUUCAGAAACUUCAUUGUAUAAGAACAAAGUGGAGAAGAUUUAGUUUAACAGUGGUUCAUGUGAAAAGG
rnacentral:lncRNA from 1 species